CCUACGGGGGGCAGCAGGAGGGAAUAUUGCUCAAUGGGGGAAACCCUGAAGCAGCAACGCCGCGUGGAGGAUGAAGGUUUUCGGAUUGUAAACUCCUUUUGUUAGAGAAGACAAUGACGGUACCUAACGAAUAAUCACCGGCCACAUCCGUCCCAGCAGCCGCGGUAACACGGAGGGCGCAAGCGUUAUCCGGAAGCACUGGGCGUAAAGGGCGCGUAGGUGGGAUAGCAAGUCAGAUGUGAAAUCCUAUGGCUUAACCAUAGAACUGCAUUUGAAACUGUUAUUCUAGAGUAUGGGAGAGGUAGGUGGAAUUCUUGGUGUAGGGGUGAAAUCCGUAGAGAUCAGGAGGAAUACUCAUUGCGAAGGCGGCCUGCUAGAACAUAACUGACGCUGAUGCGCGAAAGCGUGGGGAGCAAACAGGAUUAGAUACCCGAGUAGUC
rnacentral:rRNA from 1 species